CGCGUAGGCGGACUUUCAAGUCGGAUGUGAAAUCCACAGGCUUAACUUGUGGCUUGCAUUCGAUACUGUUGGUCUUGAGUAUAUCAGAGGAAAGCGGAAUUCCAGGUGUAGCGGUGAAAUGCGUAGAUAUCUGGAAGAACACCAGUAGCGAAGGCGGCUUUCUGGGGUAAUACUGACGCUGAAGCGCGAAGGCUAGGGGAGCAAACA
rnacentral:rRNA from 1 species